rnacentral:misc_RNA from 1 species
CAACCCUCAAGCCCCCGUGGCUUGGUGUUGGGGAUCGGCCGCAAGCCUUCACGGCAGGCGGCCGGCCCCGAAAUCUAGUGGCGGUCUCGCUGUAGUCCCCCUCUGCGUAGUAAUACACCUCGCACUGGAAGCUCGGCCUGACCACGCCGUAAAACCCCCCACUUCUGAA